rnacentral:lncRNA from 12 species
CAUAGUUCAUGGAUCCCUAGUGAAUAUACAAAUAUCCUGCAAACGAUGUGCCCUAGCAUACUGCAAACACAUGGAUAAAACAACUAACCAAGGAGCUGCUUAUAUCCUGACUCACCGUUUAUUAAUAAGUCGUUGUCAGCGCCUAAUAUGGAUCCGCACACGCAUAAAGAGUAAUUACAAUUGCAGAGAGAUACAUCUUUUAAAUAAAAUGUGUGGAAGAAGAGCAAAUAUUUCUGAAUAGAAUGAAAACAGUUGAAGGAAAUUAGCAAUGUUUUGGAAAUUGCAUACCAGUAUCUUCUUUAUUUAUUCCUAAUAGUGAGCUAACAUGCUUGCAGGAAUUGUACAGGUGUCUACACUGAGAAGUUGAUGUGGGAGAAAUAUCUAGGAAGCUACCCCAGCUAGCAAGAAAUGGGGAAAUGGCAUCAGGAGCAACGAUGGAUGCGUCGUCAGGAAAGUGCGGACAGAAGACCCAACGAGCGACAGAUGCGAUCAUUUAUGCUUCCUUGCGCAGGGAGGGAAGUGCUACCCAUGGGCAAACCCAUGGAGAUGUGUCACCUUUGACAUUGUUCUGUAUCAACCAACUCACCCUUUGGAAGCUACAGUACGGAUAUUUCUGCGUUCAUUUACCAGAUCUCGGAAGACUUUACACAAUAUCAUUCUUUUUUUUUUUUUUUUUUUUUUUUUUUGCCUACAUACAAACCUAUCCCUACUAUUUUUCUCUCAAAAGAAUUCCAGAAGUGCCAUGUAGUAUUUCUCUUUUAUUGUUCAUGCCUCUAAACUGUCACCAGAGCUUGCCUCACGAUAGUCCUAAAUUGUUGCUUCUUCUCAGUGAGGGUGAGGUUUCCUUGGGGGAAUAUAUUACAUGUCAAGAAUUAGUCAAGCAAUUUUUAAUUAGCACAAAACGCUUUUCCUUUAAGCGGUCUUCUUAGAAAAGCUUGCAUCUUGCUUUUGCAGCAGUAAGCUGUAUAGAUUUUUUAAGCAAACAAGCAAACUUUCCUCCCUUUCUGUCUUUGUCCUCAUUAUGAAAUGCGUCCUGGGCCCCUCCAGCUGUGCUGGCUGCGGGUCAGCGAUGUGAGUCACUGCCUGAUGUUCUCUGUACACGAACAGGAAUUAACGCAAGGGGAAAAAAAGGAUGCUCUCCUCGGAUUU